AACGAACGCUGGCGGCAGGCUUAACACAUGCAAGUCGAACGCCCCGCAAGGGGAGUGGCAGACGGGUGAGUAACGCGUGGGAAUCUACCCAGUUCUACGGAACAACUGAGGGAAACUUCAGCUAAUACCGUAUACGCCCUACGGGGGAAAGAUUUAUCGGAAUUGGAUGAGCCCGCGUUGGAUUAGCUAGUUGGUGAGGUAACGGCUCACCAAGGCGACGAUCCAUAGCUGGUCUGAGAGGAUGAUCAGCCACACUGGGACUGAGACACGGCCCAGACUCCUACGGGAGGCAGCAGUGGGGAAUAUUGGACAAUGGGCGCAUGCCUGAUCCAGCCAUGCCGCGUGAGUGAUGAUGGCCUUAGGGUUGUAAAGCUCUUUCAGUGGGGACGAUAAUGACGGUACCCACAGAAGAAGCCCCGGCUAACUUCGUGCCAGCCGCCGCGGUAAUAC
rnacentral:rRNA from 1 species